CGGCAAUUAGCCGGUCUGAACAGCAGUUCUCAACGCCCUGUUUGAACUUUCUCCAGUACCAAUGGUCAGAGUCGUCGUACUUUUCAGGAAACAGCAGACUUUCUGGGUUGUUUCUGAAGAACAUUCCACGACCUUGCCUAUCAAUGCCAU
rnacentral:tRNA from 1 species